rnacentral:tRNA from 1 species
CCAGGUUAGUUAAUUAUAUAAUAUAGAAUUGUCAUUUCUAAGUGAAUUUUAGUGUACCGCAAAU